AAUAGAUACCCAGGUAGUCCACGCCGUAAACGAUGAGUGCUAAGUGUUAGAGGGUUUCCGCCCUUUAGUGCUGCAGCAAACGCAUUAAGCACUCCGCCUGGGGAGUACGGCCGCAAGGCUGAAACUCAAAGGAAUUGACGGGGGCCCGCACAAGCGGUGGAGCAUGUGGUUUAAUUCGAAGCAACGCGAAGAACCUUACCAGGUCUUGACAUCCUCUGACACUCCUAGAGAUAGGACGUUCCCCUUCGGGGGACAGAGUGACAGGUGGUGCAUGGUUGUCGUCAGCUCGUGUCGUGAGAUGUUGGGUUAAGUCCCGCAACGAGCGCAACCCUUGAUCUUAGUUGCCAGCAUUAAGUUGGGCACUCUAAGGUGACUGCCGGUGACAAACCGGAGGAAGGUGGGGAUGACGUCAAAUCAUCAUGCCCCUUAUGACCUGGGCUACACACGUGCUACAAUGGAUGGUACAAAGGGCAGCAAAACCGCGAGGUCGAGCAAAUCCCAUAAAACCAUUCUCAGUUCGGA
rnacentral:rRNA from 1 species